rnacentral:misc_RNA from 1 species
UUUCCGUAGGUGAACAUGCGGAAGGAUCAUUCAUAAUAAAGUGUUUUAUGGCACUUUUUAAAAAUCCGUAUCCACCUUGUGUGCAAUGUUAGAUCUCGUCAAUCUUGGCGAGAUUUUUAUACAUCAACUCAUUCUUUAACUAAUUUGUCUGAAAAAUAUUAUGAAUACUUAAUUCAAAAUACAACUUUCAACAACGGAUCUCUUGGCUCUC